AACGAACGCUGGCGGCGUGCUUAACACAUGCAAGUCGAGCGGUAAGGCCCUUUCGGGGGUACACGAGCGGCGAACGGGUGAGUAACACGUGGGUGUCCUGCCCUCAGCUCUGGGAUAAGCCUGGGAAACCGGGUCUAAUACUGGAUAUGACUCCAUGACGCAUGUUGUGGGGUGGAAAGCCUUGUGCGGCUGAGGAUGGGCCCGCGGCCUAUCAGCUUGUUGGUGGGGUGAUGGCCUACCAAGGCGACGACGGGUAGCCGGCCUGAGAGGGCGACCGGCCACACUGGGACUGAGACACGGCCCAGACUCCUACGGGAGGCAGCAGUGGGGAAUCUUGCGCAAUGGGCGAAAGCCUGACGCAGCGACGCCGCGUGAGGGAUGACGGCCU
rnacentral:rRNA from 1 species